rnacentral:ncRNA from 1 species
GUAAGCGCAAGUCAUCAACUUGCGUUGAUUACGUCCCUGCCCUUUGUACACACCGCCCGUCGUUACUACCGAUUGAAUGGCUUAGUGAGAUCCUAGGAGGGUUUGUGCACGAGGGCAACCUCUAGCACGUACCCAAAUUCGAUCAAACUUGGUCAUUUAGAGGAAGUACAAGUCGUAACAAGGUUUCCGUAGGUGAACCUGCGGAAGGAUCA